AUUGAACGCUGGCGGCAUGCCUUACACAUGCAAGUCGAACGGUAACGCGGGGCAACCUGGCGACGAGUGGCGAACGGGUGAGUAAUGCAUCGGAACGUGCCCAGUAGUGGGGGAUAACUGCUCGAAAGAGCAGCUAAUACCGCAUACGACCUGAGGGUGAAAGCGGGGGAUCGCAAGACCUCGCGCUAUUGGAGCGGCCGAUGUCAGAUUAGGUAGUUGGUGGGGUAAAGGCCCACCAAGCCAACGAUCUGUAGCUGGUCCGAGAGGACGACCAGCCACACUGGGACUGAGACACGGCCCAGACUCCUACGGGAGGCAGCAGUGGGGAAUUUUGGACAAUGGACGCAAGUCUGAUCCAGCCAUGCCGCGUGCGGGAAGAAGGCCUUCGGGUUGUAAACCGCUUUUGUCAGGGAAGAAACGCUCUGGGUUAAUACCUCGGGGUAAUGACGGUACCUGAAGAAUAAGCACCGGCUAACUACGUGCCAGCCGCCGCCGUAACAC
rnacentral:rRNA from 1 species